AGGAUAGCACAGUCAACUUUACACCAGAGUCUCAGGAACAUGAUAUACUAUUUAAAGAAUGCACAUUUGCUAUUGUGCUUGAUACGUUCUCUGACCUUCAGAAAGAAAUUUCCAAUAAAUGUUGUAAGCUCACUUAUUUCCAUUAUUCAGUGCUAAAUUUCUAGUGCAGAGUUCAUUUUCAAGUCAUUAUUAGUACAACAGAUCCUCCCUAAAUGGAAGAGACUGAACAGAUCACACUCUGGACAGCUCCCAUUAUCUGAAAUAGCCAUAAGCUGCUUUAAUGUUAGAGAUUUGGUUUAAAGGAUUGUCCUCUUGGAAGAUUGGCUGUGGUUGUUUGCUAGGCAGAACAAAUUAUAAAAUGAUUAUGGCUUCAGAGAUGUAUGCUUCCAAAUGAUUGCUUUGCCAGUCCAUAAAAUGUCUGCUUUUAAAAAAAGCAGGUGAAAUAUGAGAGCUUUCAGAGAUUAGAUUGUUGGGAUAUUAUUAAAAAUGUCUUUAUAGAACCUGGAUGCAAGGCCACUGGAGUAUAACUUACCAGGAAUACUGACAGGAAGUCAUCAGCAUAAAGAAAGAAAGGCACAUUUAAAAAUGAAAAAGAAAAGGCUUAAGAAAAAAAUAGUAACAAAACUAACCUAGAAAAACAGUUGAGCGUGUACAGUUUAAACUGCCUUCCUCUGCAGGGGGCUGUGGAAAUGGGGGUCCUCAGGGAUGAGAGGGGGACGGCAGAGGAACCUUUUCUCUAACUCUCUAUGUUUCUGUAUUUGCUGAAAUUUUAUAUACAUAAACUUGUAUCAUCGGCAAUUCGUGCAACUAAAAAUAACUUUAGAAUAGAAGGCCACCAAUAGACCUUGCAUUUCAGUUUUAUCCUGCCUUUUUCACCUUUCAUCUAACAUUCAAGUCUAAUAACAUGCAGGAAAACACUGAUGAAGUGAGGGAAACUUCAGAAUUUUUGAUGUUAUCAACAGUUCCAUUUUGUAGUUGAGGAUACAUUCCCGGUUCUUAGUGUUUUCUUCAAAAAAUUAAAUUUUACUGUUAAAUACAAUUUUAUGCCUGUCAGACUCAUUCUCUGCAGUGAAGGACAUGGCACUUGGUGCUAAUAGGCAUUCAAUAGAAGCUUUUAGACUUUAUGGUGAUGAAAAAGAACCUGCCUAAAACAGAGAAGGGAUGUUUGACAAAAAGAGGGGAAAAUGAAGUUUUUAAUAUUUUUUUGCCUCUUUUGAUCUCUUCCAUGUAAGUGUUUUAAAGUGUUUGUUCUUCUUAUUAAAGUCUUAUGUGCUUUUUUAGAGAUAUAUUUGGGGUCCUGCUUGGCCUGUUUCAUUGGAGUUACCUCUCUUGCUGUUUCUGGCUGGUGGAGCCAAACAAAUUGGAACCCUAAUUCAAGCUGAGCCAAUCAGCUUGCCUCUUAUAUAUCUGAGGGAAGACGAAGACUCAGUUAGGUGAUGGUGGUCUCUGGAACUAUGGGCUAAAGUAAAAGCAGCCACACUGGAAUCCUGUGCAUUGGAUCCACAGGCAGCGGGAAUCAAGGGAGUGAUUCUGAUACCUAGAAGGAAGCAUAAGAUGCUUGUACUCAUUGAGAGUGUGAGAGCAGAGGCAGAAAUAAUAAUAAUAAUUUUUUUUUGCUUUAAAAUUUAAAUUUCUUAUAAGACCUGGCCCUACUUCCUGCCUUUGAUUAUAUGGGAUAGUCUCAAAUAUCAGUUUAUGAUAAAUUGAGCUUUGAUUUUUGCAAAACAAAAUAUAGCGAAUAUAUAAGAAAUUAAAACUGCCUGUACAAUCAUGCCCAACAUAAACAUUUUCUUUCAGUCUGUUUUUUUUUUUUCCUAUGGAAGUGCUAUAAUCACACACUCUAUAAAAUCUGCUGUCUUUCUUUCUUUUACAAAGUUGUGGGCAUUUCCCAAUUUUGUUAAUCCCAGUGCUGGUUGAAGCCAGCUCUCAUUUAUUAGGCAGGACCUGCCCCCAAAUGACUGAACAGGUCUGGAGUAAAACACCUCCUUGCUGACUGGUAUCACUCUUAAUGCAUGAGUAUUAACCACAGGUGGUCACUUGAUAACUGUCUGGCAAUGAUACUGUACUUCACUAGUUCUCCAUUUGUCCAUUGUCCAAGGACCAUUUUCUUUUUCUUCUCUCUUCUUCAGGUUUCCUCCCCCAUCCUCAAACUCUGCUGAGAUCUUUUCUAUUUUACUGGGAUAAGAAAAGCCACCAGAAGUCAGUUUCCAUGUGCUUGUACUGCCUCGUCCACCCACAUGCUCUGUGCCCAUAUAUUCUGUUUUUAUUUAUUUUUAAUAAUUUUUAUUUAUUUAUUUUUUCCAUUGUACAGCAUGAGGAACAAGUUACACAUAUGCGUAUACAUACUCUUUCCUCCUAUUGUUGUGUCACCAUGUAAGUAUCUAGACAUAGUUCUCAAUGCUAUACAGCAGGAUCUCAUUGUAAAUCCAUUCCAAGAGCAGUAGUUUGCAUCUGUUAAUCCCAAGCUCCCAAUCCCUCCCACUCUCUCCCUCUCCCUCCGGGCAGCCACAAGUCUAUGAUUUUCUUUUCUGCAGAAAGGUUCAUUUGUGCUGUAUAUUAGAUUACAGUUAUAAGUGAUAUCAUAUGGUAUUUGUCUUUCUCUUUCUGAAAUUUCACUCAGGUUGAGAGUCUCUAGUUCCAUCCAUGGUGCUGCAGAUGACAUUAUGUUGUUCUUUUUUAUGGCUGAGUAGUAUUCCAUUGUGUAUAUAUAUGCCACAUCUUCCUAAUCCAAUUGUCUGUCGAUGGACAUUUGGGUUGUUUCCAGCUCUUGGCUAUUGUGAAUAGUGCUGCAAUGAGCAGGCGGGUGCAUGUGUCUUUUAUAAGGAAAGCUUUGUCUGGAUAUAUGCCCAAGAGUGGGAUUGCUGGGUCAUAUGGUAGUUCUAUGUAUAGAUUUCUAAGAUACCUCCAUACUGGCCUCCAUAGUGGCUGUACCAGCUUACAUUCCCACCAACAGUGCAGGAGGGUUCCCUUUUCUGUUUUUAAUUACUUUGGCUUCUCUCUUCUGUGAAAUCAUCUUUUCUCUGCUGCCUGCUCAUUUUCAUGAGCUUAUAAAAUGCUAUUAUUUCUCCUAUCUUAGGGAGAAAAAAUUUUCCAGACUCUGUUUCAUGUUAGUUACUGGGUCAUUUUCCUGCUUCUGUGGAAAGCAAAUCUCCUCAGUGGUUCUGUCUACUUGUUAUCUUCAAUUUGCUCAUCUCCUAUUUUUCUAAUCAGGGCUUCCUUCUCAUGACUCCUAUAGAACAGCUCUUGUAGAAUUGCUACUGACUUUCACAUAGCUAAAACUGAUGCUUGCUCUUAGUUUUCAUCUUACUAGAGCUGUUGGCAGAUGAUCCCUCUUCCUUUAAAUACUUCCUUCACUUGACUUUUAGGACCCGUAUUCUUGGUUCUAUUCUAUUUUACUGACUCCUCCUUUUGGGAUCCUUUAUUCUCUGCCCUGUGCUCUGGUCCCUCUAUAUACCCCAGCCUUUAAUACAGCUGUGCCCCGGACUCAGCCUCAGAUCUUUACAUUUUUUUAUACUAACUUUCUAGGUGAUCUCACCUAAUACCAUGGUUUUAAAUACUAUCUAUAUACUAAGGACUUUUCACAUUUACCUUUCAAGCCCAGACCUUUCUCCUCAUUUCAAAAUUCACAUACCCAGCCCCCUACUCAAAAUUUCCUCUUGGAAUUCUAAUAAGCAUUGUAAAUCCCCAAAUGUCUGAUGGCUCCUGAACUCAAACUUUGGAACUCUCUUUUUAUUUUUUAAAAUUUUAUUUCAUUAUUUGUUUUAUUUUAUUUUUAAAUUUUGGAUAGUAUUGUUGAGAUAUAAUUCAUAGCAUACAAUCGAACCAUUUGAAGUGUACUAUUUAAUGGCUUUUGGUAUAUUUACAGAGUUGUGCAAUAUUCACUGUAAUCAAUUUUAGAACAUUAUCAUCACCUGAAAAAAAAAAAAA
rnacentral:lncRNA from 1 species